rnacentral:lncRNA from 1 species
AAACAAGCUUGCCUAGCAUCACACAGCAGCAUAUGUUCAGCUGGGGCCACCGCCCCUUUUGGCUCAGCACAGGUGCAACGCAAAGGAGCUUUGCUUUUCCUGGGCUCAGGGAAAGUUGAAGGCAACCUGAGAAUAGGUGCUUCCUGGGGAACGGUGUUGAACCUAACCCCCUUCCUCCACUCUUUAAAAUCAGACAGGCUCUGUGCUGAAGACCGACACUGACAGCUUUCGGCCAGGAACUUAUCUUUCCCAGCAACAAAGAACAGGUGCCAGCCAUAGCAAUAGUUUCAGACCCGUGGAGUCAGCUGUGCUGUUGCCAACCUCCAUCACCUGUCCGCCUUUAUCCUGGGCUCUGUUCCUGUGGAUUUGAACAAAUAGAUGAGCGGCAUCGGAAGAAAGCUUUAGCUGCAUGUGUUUGGGUGACCACGAGAGGGCAGCACGUAAGAGACCAGUGUCGGCCCCGCUGCCUUCUUGAACACACCGGAAGCCUCCUAGGAAAACUGCAGAUUUUGUCAGACUGUGAAGUAGAAGAGUCAAAGAGCCUUCAUUGCUUCCUUUUAAAUGACCAGCCUACUAAGGAAUUUAGAAUGCCCAAGUAAGGACUGCUGGUCAGACUGGACUUCAAAAUUCCUGGAUCCUUAAGACCCAAUGCAUCAGACAAAUGUCCUGCUGGAUCCUCCCACCGUCAGCUAAGGGACAGUGCUAGCUCUCUGGUGAGGGAGAUCCGUGUGGAGGUCUCUGGCAUUCCUGGGUCAGUGGAUGGCUGGGAGAACUGCUCAGCUCCAGGUUCCAGGGCCUCUGAUCAAAGCCAACCCUGGGGGCCAGCCAGAGAUAUCGCAAACCUAAGGACUAACGUGGAAUCUACACCUGCCUUGGGAGUAAAGAACAAGCAGGGUGCUUUCCGGGAUGGCUUUGGGAUGAGAUGCCCAAGACUUAGUGCCCCUGGCAUUGCUCAGCUCUCAAGCUGACUUCCACAGCACCCCCAUGGAAGCUUCAUUGGUGCAUCUUUGGGUCUUGAAUGCAGUGCUACAAUAUUGACGAGGAAAGUCUCCUUGGAACCACAGGAAGACAAAAGUGCAGAGUGAUUUGCUGGCCUUGGCUAGGACAGGGUCCAGGGUGCAGCCAAGGGAGGGUGAUCUAAGCCAGCCAUUCUCCUAGUGUGGCUCCUGGACUAUGCGCAACAGCAUCACCUGGGAGCUUGUUAGAAACACUGGUUCUCAGUUCCCAUGCAGACGUCUUGCAUCAGAAAAUCUGGGGCUGGGGCCCAGCAAUCAGUGUCUCCAAAGGCCCUGAGAUCAUUCUAUUCAAGUUUGGGAACCAGCAACACAGCAUUUAAGUGGAAAUGUUUAUAGUUGCAAAGCCAGGUGAAGCUUGAAAUGCAUCAUAGAGGAAAUGAGGACAAGAAUGUAGAAAAAGAGUAAAAACAGAGAGGAAAAAAAUUUACAAGCCAUCAUAGAGUGAAAGAGCUUCCCCUGCUGCCUGGGGGUGUGGGAAAUGAGAGUUGCACCUGCUCACAAGUAUGACCAGCAAUUUAAUAUCUAUCUAGAGCUUUCAACCCUGCCAUGUCAAAUUUAUUUAGCUAAAAACAACUCUUGUGGUGGUGACCUUUUAUUCAGCUAAUAUUACUCCCCUCAAUGCCUCCAAAGCACACAGAGAAAUUGGAGGGCUGAUGAAAAUCUUUAAAGUCUACUAAAUACUAAAGCCUUCCCAAACACUGUGUACUUUUCAGAGAGAGUUUCUUUUUAUUGGAAUUUCAGAUUAUUGAAAGGUUAUCUGUCUCCUGUUCCUAGAGGGAUUAAAAUAAAACAAAAGCAAGAAGAA